CAGCCGCCGCGGUAAAACCAGCACCUCAAGUGGUCAGGAUGAUUAUUGGGCCUAAAGCAUCCGUAGCCGGCUCUGUAAGUUUUCGGUUAAAUCCAUACGCUUAACGUAUGGGCUGCCGGGAAUACUGCAAAGCUAGGGAGUGGGAGAGGUAGACGGUACUCGGUAGGAAGGGGUAAAAUCCUUUGAUCUAUUGAUGACCACCUGUGGCGAAGGCGGUCUACCAGAACACGUCCGACGGUGAGGGUUGAAAGCUGGGGGAGCAAACCGGAUUAGAUACCCGGGUAGUCCCAGCUGUAAACUAUGCAAACUCAGUGAUGCAUUGACUUGUGGUCAAUGCAGUGCUGCAGGGAAGCCGUUAAGUUUGCCGCCUGGGAAGUACGUACGCAAGUAUGAAACUUAAAGGAAUUGGCGGGGGAGCAC
rnacentral:rRNA from 2 species